rnacentral:rRNA from 1 species
CCUACGGGAGGCAGCAGUGGGGAAUAUUGCACAAUGGACGAAAGUCUGAUGCAGCAACGCCGCGUGGAGGAUGACACAUUUCGGUGCGUAAACUCCUUUUAUAUAGGAAGAUAAUGACGGUACUAUAUGAAUAAGCACCGGCUAACUCCGUGCCAGCAGCCGCGGUAAUACGGAGGGUGCAAGCGUUACUCGGAAUCACUGGGCGUAAAGAGCGUGUAGGCGGGUAUAUAAGUCAGAAGUGAAAUCCAAUAGCUUAACUAUUGAACUGCUUUUGAAACUGUAUACCUAGAAUGUGGGAGAGGUAGAUGGAAUUUCUGGUGUAGGGGUAAAAUCCGUAGAGAUCAGAAGGAAUACCGAUUGCGAAGGCGAUCUACUGGAACAUUAUUGACGCUGAGACGCGAAAGCGUGGGGAGCAAACAGGAUUAGAUACCCCAGUAGU